GAGAAGGUAGGAAAAGAUACCAAAGGGGAGGAGACCUCUUCUGACCUGGUUUAUUUUCCACUCUCAGCUCCCACUUCCAACCUUCCGGGUUCAGCUCCAGUGUAGACGCCUUCCACUACUCUACAAACGGCUCCCGGCUGUUACCCCCAGUGCUUUCUCUUCUCCACCCUGCAAAGCCAAGGGGUAGACUCGGUGGGGCAGUCCUUUCCAUGCCUUCCGCACCUCGGGCUAUCGGCCCUUGCAAGUCACACCUUCUGAGGGAAGGAACUUACCCAAAAAGAGCAGUUUUUCAUCGUAGAGGUGCAAGCCUUUCCCAGAAAAUCCAUCCCAAGAGGCCCAGAAGUUGGGUGAAAAGCCAAACGGUACACUUCCCAGAGAACCCUUCCCCAGGGAAGCCUAGGUCUCUCCCACGCCUAGCGGCCCUCGAGGGUAGCCUCUCCUUCCUUCCUGCAAGCUCCAAGCCGGUCCCUUCCGGAGCCACUUCCAGCCACUUUAUCCUCUGAGCAUCCUUUAGCCUGUUACUCUCAGGACAGCAGCUACUUCAUCAGAAGGAGCCUACAGUCCCACGAACAUCCUGGGAUGGGAGACCUUUGAGAGCAGAGAAGGCUCCGGCCUGGGACCCGCUCUGAAGAUGUCUGUAAGCACGUGGAUUGAGCUCCUGGGACAAGACUGUGAAUUUGGGCAAGUUCCUUUCUCCAGGGGCCUGUGCGACUGACUGGAGCCCAGCUGCCUGGGGAGGCCCUGCCAACGCUGGCUCAGGAGGCCUGGUGUUUCCCUUCCCGGGGCCUGGCUGGCUACCAAAAUGGAUUCCGCUCAGGAGCUGGAACCCAGAAGAGCCUAACUGCCUGGUGGCCUUGCGGCACACUCAGCCUACCGACUGAGAUGUGAAGGUGUUUGCUUGCUUACUUGUUUGUUUGUUUGUUUGUUUGUUUGGUUUUAGUCUUUAAGAGUUCCUGGGUUUAUUGGUUUUCUGCCCGGGACUUGGGGUCACUAGAAUUUUCCCUAAGGAAGGAGAAGCUUGGGGGAACCAGACCUGUGCCAGGCCCUGAGUGGGAAUACCAGCUCCACACCCAUCCCUCUCCACCCAGCUACUAUCCUGAGUAGCACUGUUCUUUUCUGACAGGGGUCUACCGGCUUUCUUGUUGUGGUUUGCCCUGGAGUUAUCUGUAUUUUGAUGCUAAUUCCACUGCCCUGCUGACGGCUGCCUAGUCAUGUGCUCCGGACUCAGGUGACUUCACCAGAACCUUCUCCCCACUGAAUUUGUAAAGUACAGGUGAGGGCCGGUACAGGAUAGAAGGAGGCCUGUCAUUGGACGAGAAGGAAGGAUGGGCGGGAGAGAAGUUUGAAGGAAGAGGAGGAGACUGGAUCGGAAAGGAGAAGAGACAGGAGAGGAGGGAGAAAAGCUGCGGUGGAGACAACGUGGAGGCUGACGUUAAGAUUCCACGCUGUACCCUUACAGGUCUGGAGACUGCAAGAAGACCUUGCUUAGUGGCUGAUGGAUUCCAAGCCCUCCUCUUGGUUCCUGCAGUGCUGGGACUGUAAAGUCGUGUGCUGACUCUUAGUAACCGGGAUACUUCAUUCCUGAGUUGAUUGAUAUCAUGGUCCAUGGGUUAAAUGAGAUUUUCAGAAGGAAAAGAAGGAAAUAACGAUAUAUUUAAGGAGGAUGAGGAGGAAGAAAAGAAGAAGAAGGAGAAGAAGGAGGAGGAGGAGGAGGAGGAGGAGGAGGAGGAGGAGGAGAAGAAGAAGAAGAAGAAGAAGAAGAAGAAGAAGAAGAAGAAGAAGAAGAAGAAGAAGAAGAAGAAGAAGAAGAAGUUGUUGUUGUUGUUGAAGAAGAAGAAGAAGAAGUUGUUAGUUAAUUCAAGUGUUUAUUCCCAGGCUUGUUCUUGACAAACAAGAUUUUGGAAACUGUUCAUUUUUGUUCUGGAUAUUGUUUUUAAUUUUUGUAUCCUUACAUUUUAUUUCUAAAUAUUGAGAAAAAUCAGAGUUUAAAUUUUU